GUUCAGCUAAAGCUCGUAGUUGGAUUUGUGGCUGUCACGGGCGGCCUAUCACUUAGUGUUAGUGCUUGCCUGUGUCGCCAUCCUUGGGUGGAGCCCGUGUGGCAUUAGGUUGUCGUGCGGGGGAUGCCCAUCGUUUACUGUGAGAAAAUUAGAGUGUUCAAAGCAGGCUUAUGCCGUUGAAUAUGUUAGCAUGGAAUAAUAAGAUAGGACCUCGGUACUAUUUUGUUGGUUUGCGCACCGAGGUAAUGAUUAAUAGGGACAGUUGGGGGUAUUCGUAUUCCAUUGUCAGAGGUGAAAUUCUUGGAUUUCUGGAAGACGAACUACUGCGAAAGCAUUUACCAAGGAUGUUUUCAUUAAUCAAGAACGAAAGUUAGGGGAUCGAAGAUGAUUAGAUAAUUUCGGUAGUCA
rnacentral:rRNA from 1 species